GAUGAACGCUGGCGGCGUGCCUAAUACAUGCAAGUCGAACGGGGAGUAGCAAUACUCUUAGUGGCGGACGGGUGAGUAACGCGUUGGUACCUGCCCCGAAGCGGGGGAUAACGGACCGAAAGGUCCGCUAAUACCCCAUGUGCUCGGUAACGAGUAAAGGUGAAAACCACUUUGGGAGGGGCCUGCGUCCCAUCAGCUAGUUGGUAAGGUAACGGCUUACCAAGGCGAUGACGGGUAGGGGACCUGAGAGGGUGGCCCCCCACAAUGGAACUGAAACACGGUCCAUACACCUACGGGUGGCAGCAGUAGGGAAUAUUGGUAAUGGGCGCAAGCCUGAACCAGCAACGCCGCGUGUGCGAUGACGGCCUUCGGGUUGUAAAGCACUUUUGACUGGGACGAGGAAGGACGGUACCGGUCGAAUCAGCCUCGGCUAACUACGUG
rnacentral:rRNA from 1 species